GGGGGGAUCGGAUAUUGGGCGUAAGAGCUCGUAGGCGGUUUGUCGCGUCUGCCGUGAAAGUCCGGGGCUCAACUCCGGAUCUGCGGUGGGUACGGGCAGACUAGAGUGAUGUAGGGGAGACUGGAAUUCCUGGUGUAGCGGUGAAAUGCGCAGAUAUCAGGAGGAGCACCGAUGGCGAAGGCAGGUCUCUGGGCAUUAACUGACGCUGAGGAGCGAGAGCAUGGGGAGCGAACAGGAUUAGAUACCCUGGUAGUCCAUGCCGUAAACGUUGGGCACUAGGUGUGGGGGACAUUCCACGUUUUCCGCGCCGUAGCUAACGCAUUAAGUGCCCCGCCUGGGGAGUACGGCCGCAAGGCUAAAACUCAAAGGAAUUGACGGGGGCCCGCACAAGCGGCGGAGCAUGCGGAUUAAUUCGAUGCAACGCGAAGAACCUUACCGAGGCUUGACAUGAACCGGUAAUACCUGGAAACAGGUGCCCCGCUUGCGGUCGGUUCACAGGUGGUGCAUGGUUGUCGUCAGCUCGUGUCGUGAGAUGUUGGGUUAAGUCCCGCAACGAGCGCAACCCUCGUUCCAUGUUGCCAGCGCGUAAUGGCGGGGACUCAUGGGAGACUGCCGGGGUCAACUCGGAGGAAGGUGGGGACGACGUCAAAUCAUCAUGCCCCUUAUGUCUUGGGCUUCACGCAUGCUACAAUGGCCGGUACAAAGGGUUGCGAUACUGUGAGGUGGAGCUAAUCCCAAAAAGCCGGUCUCAGUUCGGAUUGGGGUCUGCAACUCGACCCCAUGAAGUCGGAGUCGCUAGUAAUCGCAGAUCAGCAACGCUGCGGUGAAUACGUUCCCGGGCCUUGUACACACCGCCCGUCAAGUCACGAAAGUUGGUAACACCCGAAGCCGGUGGCCUAACCCCUUGUGGGAGGGAGCUGUCGAUGUGGACUGGCGAUUGGACUAAGUCGUAACAAGGUAACC
rnacentral:rRNA from 1 species